AAAAUGCGAUAAGUAGUGUGAAUUGCAGAAUUCAGUGAAUCAUCGAAUCUUUGAACGCACAUUGCGCCCUCUGGCAUUCCGGGGGGCAUGCCUGUCCGAGCGUCAUUACGCACCCUCAAGCCCGGCUUGUGUGAUGGGCCCCGGCGUCUCGUUCGCGAGACGGGCCCGAAAGGCAGCGGCGGCGUCGACCCGAUGAGCCCGAGCGUAUGGGGACUUCUGUCACACGUUCGCGGUGCGGACCGGCGCCUGCUUGACUUUUCUGAUUAUCCAGGUUGACCUCGGAUCAGGUAGGGAUACCCGCUGAACUUAAGC
rnacentral:misc_RNA from 1 species